AAGAGUAUAAAAUAGGAGGAGCUUGUUUACACAAAGCAUACUUUUCUCGGCCUUUUGGCUAAGAUCAAGUGUAGUAUCUGUUCUUAUCAGUUUAAUAUCUGAUAUGUGGACCAAUGGUUCACACGAUAUUAAAUUAAUUUUUUAAAGGGGUGAGUCCGCUACAAUAGCUUGCUAUUGGGUCUCACACGUGUCAUCUUUGUGCUGCACUACUUCAAAGUUUGGCGCACCCUACCAAUCCAUUUAAAAAUCUCUUUCUCCAGUAAAGCCAAACAGUAUUACACAUGAUGAAGAUCGAUGUCACUUGCAACCUCAAGUCUGCAUUUGACAUUUAUGUGCUUCUGCAGUCCCUUGGCAGAAAUCACGGCUUCUUGACAUUUUUCUUUCAAGCUUGUUCCAUAACUUUUAGUGAUUGCUAACUUCUAGUUGAAAUGUUGGUGAAGGCUAAAUGUUUAUGCAUACACGAACAUGGCUCUAUUCGGUGCUAUAUUAUUCACAUGACUGUAGCUUUGUUAUCACUAUCCGCCAAGUUGGGAUAACUUUGUUAUCUCUCCGAAGGGAUGGACGAGACCUUCUUCCAAGCAAAGAGAGUUGGAGCUUUGAGGAAAAAAAUUAUGUAGGAUUUGACAAAAUGCAGUGUGCUUUUGCUUAGGCUCUUCCCUUGGAUUUUAUCCAUGCAAUAGAACGGGCUAAUUUUAUUAUUUGAUUCAAUCAAAGUCCCAGUUGUAACAUUAAUGUUAGAUGCUAGAAGACCCACAUCGAUUAAGAGCUGUGUAUCUCUAGUUUGAGGCUUAUAGAAAAGCGCAGCUUCGCACUGUUUUAACUCAUGGAGCCAUGCGUCGAGCACUUAGUGAACUAUUCUUUCGCCUUUUACUAAAGAAUAUCGUGUGCGCGGUGCUUUAAUUGGCAUUUGGAAGGGUGCACUGUCCCUCAAAUUUGAGUCAUGAAUAUUUUAGUCCUAUAAUGAUGAUUUGAUCCUGCGAUGAAAUUUUGUUUAACAAAGUUUUGUCCUUA